CAAGCGUUAUCCGGAUUUACUGGGUUUAAAGGGUGCGCAGGCGGAUAUGUAAGUCAGUGGUGAAAUCUUCCCGCUUAACGGGAAAACUGCCAUUGAUACUAUAUAUCUUGAAUGCUGUGGAGGUAAGCAGAAUAUGUCAUGUAGCGGUGAAAUGCUUAGAGAUGACAUAGAAUACCUAUUGCGAAGGCAGCUUACUACGCAGAUAUUGACGCUCAUGCACGAAAGCGUGGGGAUCAAACAGG
rnacentral:rRNA from 1 species